GUGUGUGUGUGUCUGUCUGAUCUGAUGCAUGUGCCCACUGUGCUGGCGUUGGAAGUGACCCUUGCGGCUGCGGUCAGAGGGAACGGCCGUUUCCACUUUACUCACGGGAGCCCAGCGGGAGAGGUUGGGCUGACCUUCUUGCUGCGGUUGGCAUCCCAUCCUUCCCUCCUUCCCCCGGCUGUGCCGACAGGCCCCUGCCGGCGUCCGCUCUGCCCUCCCUCCCCGUGCAGGUCUUCCUCCAGCUGAACAGCCACAGCCUCCGGGUGUUGACGGAGUCUUCGGUGCCCCGAGAAGCUCCGAAACUGGCCUUUAAAACUCUGGUCCCCAGACCUUCGUCUGCAGCGGGGCCCCUGGGAAGUCAGAUGGGAAGAAGCAGGUCUGGGGCCGGGACUCACCCACGCGCCUGGAACCGUCCCGUCUGAAUUCCCCGCCGGAGUCAGCGGCCGGCCGAGCUCUGUGAGGCGGCGGCCGUGUGGGCCCCUGGGACUGGAUUCUUGGGCCGUGGGGGCUGAUUUAACGUUCCCUGAACUGAAUGAACGUUCCGUCUGGGGCAGGGACACAGGGCUGAAGGCUGCCACCGCCACGGGUGUCAGGAUCUGUAGGCACUGCCC